CUUUACCAAUUGAGAAACUCCCAUGACUUCCAAUGUGUUCUUUUUAAGUGACAAAGAGAUUGAGACACAUUGGAUUAGAUCAAGAGUCCCAACAAUGACUAGUAUUUUGUUGUAAUCUUUAUUGUAUUGAACUUUAAUUUGAGAAGAAAGUCAAUGCACACUGAAAAGUAGUAAAACAUCUCAUGAAGGUAUAACAAUACAUUCUCUGAACAUCUCAUUUCAAGUUAUGUAAAUACUGUACAUUUAAUAUUCUGUUUCUAUGGAUGUUGAUGGUAAUACACUGAAAGUACACAAAGGAUCUUUGUGAAAUACUGAUUAUUAACCGAGAACUGAUAAAAGAUGAGAAUCAAAUGACAUCUUCAUUUGUGGUUAAGGAAGAAAAGAAAAAUGUCAUGUAAAUACAAACAUCCUUGAAGAUUUUCAAAAGAUAUGACCCUGAUUAAACAUUUAAAGAUGACAAACACUUUAUAUACAUUACAUUCACCAUAUAUAUACAGUAUAUUACAAAAAAUAGGCAGCAAAAGAGUAUUGAUGAUUCAAACAACAUGAAACAAUAGCCUAGUCAUAAAGAUAUUGCAAAAUAUUAUUGGUUUCCCUUUCUUCAUUAUUGUAUAUUUCGUUCCAAAUUACUGUACAACACUUUAGACAAAAUCCACAAAAAAAAUAUUUUAUUUGCCUCAUUUGAGUUCUCUCUAGGUUCAAGGCUUCAUUAUCAAGCUAGGUCUACACUUACCACAACUACAAGAGAUCUACGGAAGGCUCAACUAAACAUUUACUGGCAGGAAAAGACAACUUAAAUCAAUUCAACAUUUUGUACAUCGUAAUUAGUAUUUUUCCACCAGAAAAAUUGAUGUAUGCAUUAACCAUAAUCUAUCUCUAAAACUGUACUUACUUUAGAUGUAUUGGACUUCAGAGUGAUUUUGAAAUUGCCACUGAAUUCAAAUCUGCCUUUAUUUUGAUUGACAGGUACACUACACUUUAACUUCUAACAUUUUCCAUCAAUGUCUUGACUUUAACGUUGAAUAUACAUUUCACUACAUUCGGUUAUGGGUGAUCUUUAGCAAAAUGCUUGUUAUAAAUGAAUACCACUGUAGGAGAUUAGAAUGCUGGUGAGUUGAAGUAGGUUGAAAAGGCCUGAACAUAUGACUUACUGAUGUAGAAUCUUAAAUUUGAUCACUCUUUGUCGCUGAGAGGAAAAGCAAAUGUGUGAUGUAUUCCAGGUUUAAAAAGGCUUCUAAAGAUUGUAAUUUCCACUUUAAAAUGUCAGACUUGAUUUGCCUUAACGGAAAUGUAUCAACAAAAAUGUCCAUUCAUUUUAAUCCACAUAAUAAUUCACAUUUCCAGUUGCUGCUGGAUUAUUUUCCUGUGGUCAAGAACUGGCUCAAAUUAAGAUCCUACAUCUGUACUGUGAGACUGAGCCAGCAUGACAACUGACAAUGACCUGACUAUAUACAUUCGACUACAUACAAUAUAUACAUUCAUCCAGACACUGUACAGGGAUACAUUAAUACAAUGAGCUCUGCGGGACUUUCUCUCUUUUCCUUUUCUUAUUAUGAACACGUUGGAUCAGGCAGGAGAACUGACAGUGGAGUUUAACCGAGUAAGACAGUGAUGGAGGUUCAUUCAGUGAUAGGGGAUAUAAGUGGUGUGUCCCAAUAAACAUAUUUUUCCUGAAGUGUGCACUUGUACACUACUUACCACAAAUCUAAAAGCAUUGGAUUGGUGGAGGUAUGGGCUAGUUUCCAUCAUGCUUUUUACACCAAUCAUACUAACCCUUUCAGAUCAGUGAAGGGAAGUAAACAAGUGCACACUUUGGGAGAAAGGAGUGAUAAUUGGGACAUAAGCCAGGAGUCAUACAGUGAUAGGAAGGUAGACUGCAGGGGUCAUGGGGUCAACCAGGGAUAAUAAUAAUCAUUGAUUAAACUUUUAUAGCUCUUUUCAUUUACAGACAGAAUCUCAAGGUGCUUGUUAAGCAAAAUAAUCAACAAAAAGUAAUUUAAAAAGAAAUAGGCUAAAACAGUAGCUAGAUCAGCUAGUUUGAGUGGUUCUAUAUCAGCUAGCUUGAGUGGUUCUAGAUCAGCUAGUUCGAGUGGCUCUAGAUCAGCUCGUUUGAGUGGUUAUAGAUCAGCUAGUUUGAGUGGCUCUCAAACAGUCAUGGGGUUAACAGACAGUCAUGGGGUUAACAGGGUCAGACAGUCAUGGGGUUAACAGGGUCAGACAGUCAUGGGGUUAACAGGGUCAGACAGUCAUGGGGUUAACAGGGUCAGACAGUCAUGGGGUUAACAGGGUCAGACAGUCAUGGGGUUAACAGGGUCAGACAGUCAUGGGGUUAACAGGGUCAGGCAGUCAUGGGGUUAACAGGGUCAUACAGUCAUGGGGUUAACAUGGUCAGACAGUCAUGGGGUUAACAUGGCAAGACAGUCAUGGGGUUAACAUGGUCAGACAGUCAUGGCCAGACAGUCAUAGGGUUAACAUGGUCGGACAGUAAUGGUCAGACAGUCAAAGGGUUAACAUGGUCAGACAGUCAUAGGGGUAACAUGGUCAGACAGUCAUAGGGUAACAUGGUCAGACAGUCAUAGUGGAUCAGACAGUCAUAGGGUCAGACAGUCGUAGGGUUAACAUGGUCAGACAGUUAUGGUCAGACAGUCAUAGGGUAAUCAGGGUCAGACUCAUGGGGUUAACAGGGUCAGACAGUCAUAGUGGAUCAGACAGUCAUAGGGUCAGACAGUCGUAGGGUUAACAUGGUCAGAGAGUAACAGGGUUAACAUGGUCAGACAGUCAAAGGAUUCACAGGGCCAGGCAGCCAAAGGGUUAACAGGUUCAGACAGUCAUGGUCAGACAGUCAUAGGGUUAACAGGGUCAGACAGUCAUGGUCAGACAGUCAUAGGAUUAACAGGGUCAUACAGUCAUAGGGUUAACAUGGUCAGACAGUCAUGGGGUUAACAGGGUCAGACAGUCAUGGGGUUAACAGGGUCAGACAGUCAUGGGGUUAUCAGGGUCAGACAGUCAUGGGGUUAACAGGGUCAGACAGUCAUGGGGUUAACAGGGUCAGACAGUCAUGGGGUUAACAGGGUCAGACAGUCAUGGGGUUAACAGGGUCAGACAGUCAUGGGGUUAACAGAGUCAGACAGUCAUGGGGUUAACAGAGUCAGACAGUCAU
ensembl:lncRNA